GUCGUUGUAGUAUAGUGGUGAGUAUUUCCGCCUGUCACGCGGACGACCCGGGUUCGAUCCCCGGCAAUGGCG
rnacentral:tRNA from 1 species